CAUAUAUGUACGCGUGUGCGCGCGGGGAUUUUGGGGUUUUUUUUUAUUUACAUGUUGCAGAAGAAACAGUUAUAGUCAAUACGAGACUAGUACCUAUCUAAUUGACUUCCGGAAGUAUAAAAAGACAAUGUAGAUCGCGCGGGAUUUGAACUUAAAAUAAAGAACGUUGUAGCUAUAUUUUGUUCGAUGAUCUCUUGUAUCUGUUUUCCUCCAUUUAUGUGGUGUAAAAGACCUUUCAAUCGUUUAACUCAGCUUAACUUAGAGUCAGCUCUACUAGAGCGGACCUAUGACCAUAAGCGUUCCAACAGUGCCUAUCCAGUUUUUAAGGCAUAAUGUAUAGUGGGCUAUAUAACCCAGUAUGUUGAUCAUUUCUUUCAGGCAAAGAAUUUAAUGCUGUUCUUGCUGUUAUAUCAGAAUUGGACUCAAUACUGGAAUUUGAAAAACUAGAUCAAAAGGAUUCAAUCUUGAUUUCUACAGAAGGCAUAUUUGUUAUAUUCUGCAAGGAUUGAAUCAACAAAGUACUACAGUGUCCCUUUAGCCAAGACAAUGUGUGAAGAAAAGAAUGAAGCAACAAAGGAAU